GAGAGGAGAGAACUUCAGCACUCUCUCUCUCCCCUCUCCUUGUGCGUGACCGAGCGUGGUGGAGGAGCUCGGGUGGAGUCGUUCCGUCGCCGACGUCGCGUUGCAGAGCCGUUCGAGCGCGCGUUUAUUGCCAUUGCAUCGCGAGGAGGCUGGGCGAGGGUGCGUUUUCGCCGUUCUUGAUGUCGCGCCGGUGCUAGAAUCGCUGUUUAAGUGAGAUGUUCAUCAAUUUCUCCAACCAUGGCAAGUCUAUAUCACUUCCGAGCUCAAGGAUGUUGUUUCGCAAAUUUUCUGCGUCGACGUUGGCGUUUUGACUCGUACGCGACGUAGGAGCGUCGGAUUGCAGCGAGACUUAGUUCGUUGGAUUCAGGACUUCGAGAGGAAUCCAUGAAGUCCAAAAUUGCAGAAUUUGGUGAAGGUUAGCUUGGUCGAACCUUCGUUUUACUCUGCUGUUGCUACUCGUGGACAGAAUUGAUGGAUUUGGAUUGUAGAGCUUGGAGUUAGCUCGAUUUCUGGAUUUGUUGGACUUCGAUCGAUCCAGCAGGUUGUUCCGCAGCUGAGAGGGUUCUUUGCUGCCAGAGAUUAGCUCUCGAGAGGCCGAUCAGGAUCGAGGCAAGGGCGUCACGAGUUAGAGCCAUACCCGACGAGCCGAGCUAGAGGUGUCCCUGCCGCAGCUAGUGAUUUUUGUGGGAGUUCAUAUACAUACUGUGGUUUAACUCGCCAGUGCGAGUAGUUUUGUAUCUGGAAUUUGGCGUAUGUCUAUAGCACUCAGUUUGUUUUAUUCCUGAUUCUUCUAGCAGCUCUAUACUACUGUUUGUAAUAUUGUAUGAUUUAUAGGUACAGCUAUCGCUUCGUAUAUAAGGAAAUUUUUUUUGUA